UAGUUUAGUGGCGGACGGGUGAGUAACACGUGAGCAACCUACCUUCGAGAGGGGAAUAACGGCUGGAAACGGUCGCUAAUACCGCAUAACAUACUGGGGGGACAUCCCUUUGGUAUCAAAGAUUUUAUCGCUCGGAGAUGGGCUCGCGUCCGAUUAGGUAGUUGGUGAGGUAACGGCUCACCAAGCCGACGAUCGGUAGCCGGACUGAGAGGUCGAACGGCCACAUUGGGACUGAGACACGGCCCAGACUCCUACGGGAGGCAGCAG
rnacentral:rRNA from 1 species